rnacentral:rRNA from 1 species
CGGAGGAAAAGAAACCAACAGGGAUUGCCUCAGUAGCGGCGAGUGAAGCGGCAAAAGCUCAAAUUUGAAAUCUGGCGUCUUUGGCGUCCGAGUUGUAAUUUGAAGAAGGUAUCUUUGGGCCCGGCUCUUGUCUAUGUUCCUUGGAACAGGACGUCACAGAGGGUGAGAAUCCCGUGCGAUGAGAUGACCCGGGUCUGUGUAAAGUUCCUUCGACGAGUCGAGUUGUUUGGGAAUGCAGCUCUAAGUGGGUGGUAAAUUCCAUCUAAAGCUAAAUAUUGGCGAGAGACCGAUAGCGAACAAGUACAGUGAUGGAAAGAUGAAAAGAACUUUGAAAAGAGAGUGAAAAAGUACGUGAAAUUGUUGAAAGGGAAGGGCUUGAGAUCAGACUUGGUAUUUUGCAUGCUGCUCUCUCGGGGGCGGCCGCUGCGGUUUACCGGGCCAGCAUCGGUUUGGAGCGGCAGGAUAAUGGCGGAGGAAUGUGGCACGGCUUCUGCUGUGUGUUAUAGCCUCUGACGAUACUGCCAGCCUAGACCGAGGACUGCGGUUUUUACCUAGGAUGUUGGCAUAAUGAUCUUAAGUCGCC